ACCCCGGUAUUAUUGCUGUUAUGGGUUUAAAUCGAGCUUAGCCUUGUUCAUUUUUUUACACAACACCCCCGUAAAAAAUACAACACGGCCCGCUCAAGGCCGCGGCAGCCAAGCCCGGCGAAGGCACAAAAGCGCCCCAAAAAUGCCCCACAGGCGCUUUUUUAGGGCAA
rnacentral:sRNA from 1 species